UACAGAGGGGGGCAAGCGUUUGUUCGGAAUUACUGGGCGUAAAGGGCGCGUAGGCGCCUUCUAAGUCGAACGUGAAAUCCCCGGGCUCAACCCCGGGAACUGCGUCCGAUACUGGAAGGCUUGAAUCCGGGAGAGGGAUGCGGAAUUCCAGGUGUAGCGGUGAAAUGCGUAGAUAUCUGGAGGAACACCGGUGGCGAAGGCGGCAUCCUGGACCGGCAUUGACGCUGAGACGCGAAAGCGUGGGGAGCGAACAGG
rnacentral:rRNA from 1 species